CAAGCACUAAUCUCUCAAGAUCAAGGCCAGAAAACAGGACGUAGAUGCCACCAUCCUUCUUGCCAAGCAUGUUCUUCUCUGUAUCAAGAUGAUUGCAGUCAUUAGUGCAAAGGGAACUCUUCAUGACUGGAAAGGCAACUUAAACAUCUUUUCCUGGUUUGAAAAUAUACUGAAAAUCUGACCACUGACCCCACAGUUUUAGUCACCCAUUGAAGAAUAUCCUCAAGAUGUUAAUUACAUUAAUUUUGGUUGAUACAUGCCCAUAUAUAUAUACAUUUUUCUUUUACUUUUUGCACCAAAGUUUCAUUCCUGUCAGUACUUUCUCCCCAAUUCCUAUACUUGGUUUUACAUACUGUAAAAAUGCCUGUAAUUAGUCCCAUAUCCCCAGACCUUUUGACAGCUAUAAUGAAAAUAAUUGAAAUAUUAGAUUAAAUAAAAUUUCAAAUAAAUCUCUGUAGAUAUACCAACAAAAUCAAGAACACUGCAGAAAGUGGAAAACAAAGUUAAUCUCAAUACUCAAAAAGAAUGCAAGAAGUUGAAUAAGACUGAAUAAUUCUGCAAAGCGAGAUAUGUAAUUAUUAUUUAAAUUCUCUCAUAAUCAUAAGAUCCAAUGAAGAUUAAAUACAUAAAGACACUAGCCAUAUAUUCCAACCUUCUAGAAAUCAUUCAGUCUCAUUCACAUCUUUUCCUAAACAAUAUACCAAAAGCUCGUGCAAAGUUCCCUACCGGGCACCUUGCAGUCUUCGAAUAUUAGCUCGCACGUGUUGGAACCUCGCAUGCCCAGCUUAUCUAGCUUUUGGGCAGUGCUAAAUCCCUCCAUGCCCUUCUCGACCAGGAAUGCCGUGACGCCAUGCUGGGCCUUAGCAGCAGUGGGGUUGGUUUUAGCAUAGACCUGCAGGGAUGGGAGGUGUUAAAGGCCCUUAAUGAAAUCGUGUGAAAUGGUGUGUUUUUAUUCUCAAACCAUUUCUGGUCUCAAAUGCACAUCUCUGUCUUAGGAGAACCGAUCCACCAAUGCCAUAAAUAUUCAUCAAAAAAAGAAAGAGAAAAAAAAAAAGAAAGAAAGAAAAAAAAAAAAAAAAA